CGCGCGAGACGCACAUUUAGCUUGAUACAGCCUGAAAAAUACAUGUUUUUGGGCAUGAUAAAAAUUUGACAUGAAAAAGUAUGAGACAGUUGUUGUCAGUUUUCAUUGGUGAUUUCAAAUAUGAAAUUUAAUCGAAAGCUUGACAAACAGCUUUGGAGAAUUUGUUGUUUCCCCAUUCAAAGAGAUAUGAGCUGCAUGAUGCCCAGGAUGCCCGAGAGGCGUUUCAAAGUUGGCCGCCGAGUGAAAUGACUUGUCUUAAAGGGACUUUGGCAGCAGUCAGGUGAUACAACUGAGCUCUCGACAGCCCGCCUGAAGCACAUACGCAUACAUAUCAACCCGAGACUGAGACAGCAGCUGAUCUCCAGUCAGGUUCACAUUGAGCUUGUGGAGCAGCUGUAGAACCUCUCCGAUGCUCAGAUUCCCAUCUCCAUUUUUGUCUGCUUCUGAAAAGGUCUGUUUCAACCAUUUGCAACAAGAUGUAAGGAAAUAUCCACUCUUAC